rnacentral:sRNA from 1 species
ACCCUGUCCUCAGGAACACAUGACAGCUGGAGGCAAUUGCCAGACCUUCUCAUCUUCCACUGUCAUCUCCUACUCCAAUACGGGUGAUGGUGCCCCCAAGGUCUACCAAGAGACAUCAGAGAUGCGCUCGGCACCAGGCGGGAUCCGGGAGACACGGAGGACUGUUCGGGAUUCAGACAGUGGACUGGAGCAGAUGUCCAUUGGGCAUCACAUCCGGGACAGGGCUCACAUCCUCCAGCGCUCCCGAAACCAUCGCACGGGGGACCAGGAGGAGCGGCAGGACUAUAUCAACCUGGAUGAGAGUGAGGCCGCGGCAUUUGAUGACGAGUGGCGGCGGGAGACGUCCCGAUUCCGACAGCAGCGUCCCCUGGAGUUUCGGCGGCUUGAGUCCUCAGGGGCGGGGGGACGAAGGGCGGAGGGGCCUCCCCGCCUGGCCAUCCAGGGACCUGAGGACUCCCCUUCCCGACAGUCCCGCCGCUAUGACUGGUGAGGGCCCCGGGCCCUCAGCCUCUCUUGUAAGUAUCAGGAGUAAGGAGGGCGGGGUGCACCUGUGGACGGUCCUCG